UACGUAGGCAGCGAGCGUUGUUCGGAGUUACUGGGCGUAAAGGGUGUGUAGGCGGUUUGGUAAGUCUGGUGUGAAAUCUCCCGGCUCAGCUGGGAGGGUGCGCCGGAAACUGCCGGACUAGAGUGCGGGAGAGGAGAGUGGAAUUCCUGGUGUAGCGGUGAAAUGCGUAGAUAUCAGGAGGAACACCGGUGGUGUAGACGGCUCUCUGGACCGUAACUGACGCUGAGACACGAAAGCGUGGGUAGCAAACAGG
rnacentral:rRNA from 1 species